CGUGGGCGAGGCGCUCGCCGAGGCCCUGCCGCUCGGGGCGGCGCUGGGCAUCACCGUGCUCCACGACGGCGCCGUUCGCCUCGGCGAUCCGCUC
rnacentral:tRNA from 1 species